UUGNGCACUAGCGCGGUGGUCCCACCUGACCCCAUGCCGAACUCAGAAGUGAAACGCCGUAGCGCCGAUGGUAGUGUGGGGUCUCCCCAUGCGAGAGUAGGGAACUGCCAGGCA
rnacentral:rRNA from 1 species